GGAAGUGAGUAAGGGCGCACGGGGGAUGCCUAGGCUUCCGGAGGCGAUGAAGGACGUGACAAGCUGCGAUAAGCCCUGGGGAGGCGCAUGUAGCCGGUGAUCCGGGGAUUUCCGAAUGGGGCAACCCGGCACGCGGGAGGCGUGCCAUCCCGCCGGUUGGCGGGAGGCGAACCCGGGGAACUGAAACAUCUAAGUACCCGGAGGAGGAGAAAACAAGAGUGAUCCCCGGAGUAGUGGCGAGCGAAAUGGGGAAAGCCCAAACCGGGGCGGUUUCGGCCGCCACGGGGUAGUAGGGCCGCCAAGAGGUUGCGAGCGGCGAGGCGGAACGGUCUGGAACGGCCGGCCGUAGCGGGUGAUAGCCCCGUACGCGAAAGCGGCGAGCGACCGGGCGGUACCCUGAGUAGGUCGGGGCACGGGUAACCCUGUCCGAAUCAGCCGGGACCAUCCGGCAAGGCUAAAUACUCCCGGAAGACCGAUAGCGUACCAGUACCGUGAGGGAAAGGUGAAAAGCACCGCGAGCAGCGGGGUGAAAGAGAGCCUGAAACCGUGCGCCUACAAGCGGUCGGAGUUCCGGUUUACCGGGAUGACGGCGUGCCUUUUGCAUAAUGAGCCUACGAGUUGCCGUGACCGGCGAGGUUAACCCCGUGUACGGGGGGAGCCGAAGCGAAGGCGAGUCCGAAUAGGGCGUUUAGUCGGUCGGGGCAGACGCGAAACCUAGCGAUCUACCCAUGGCCAGGCUGAAGUCCCGGUAACACGGGAUGGAGGGCCGAACCGGUGAGCGUUGAAAAGCUCUGGGAUGAGCUGUGGGUAGGGGUGAAAGGCCAAUCAAGCUGGGAAAUAGCUCGUACUCCCCGAAAUGCCUUUUGGGGCAGCCUCGGGAUACGCGCGCGGAGGUAGAGCUACCGAUUGGGUGCGAGGGUUUCACCGCCUAUCAAGCCCAGACGAACUCCGAAUGCCGCGAGGCGGUUUCCCGGGAGAGAGCCGCGGGGUGCUAAGGUCCCGCGACGAGAGGGGAAUAACCCGGACCGGCGGCUAAGGUCCCGAAGCGUACGCUAAGUCGAGGUAACGAGGUGCGGCUGCAGUGACAGCUAGGAUGUUGGCUUGGAAGCAGCCAUUCAUUCAAAGAGUGCGUAACAGCUCACUAGUCGAGCGGCCGUGCGUGGAUAAUAAGCGGGCGUCAAGCGUACCACCGAAGCCCCGGGUUCCCGCGCGAACGGGAGCGGUAGGGGAGCAUUCCAUGAGCGGGGAAGCCGAUCCGCGAGGGUUGGUGGAGCGCAUGGAAAGGCAAAUGUAGGCAUGAGUAACGACAAUGCGGGUGAGAAACCCGCACACCGUAAGGCCAAGGGUUCCUGAUCAACGCUAAUCGGAUCAGGGUUAGCCGGGUCCUAAGGCGUACCCGAGGGGGGAAGCCGAUGGGCAUCGGGUUAAUAGUCCCGAGCUGGCGUGGGGUGCGAUCCGGGGACGGAUCGGCGCGGCGCGCACGUACCGACGGACAUGGUGCGUUGAGCCUAGCCCCCGGGCGAAGCGAGCGCGUGAGGCCGGUUCCGAGAAAAUCCGGUAAGCGAGAGCCCCUCGUCACCCGUACCGUAAACCGACACAGGUGGCCGGGGAGAGUAUCCCAAGGUGCUCGAGUGAAUCAUGGCCAAGGAACUCGGCAAACUGACCCUGUAACUUCGGGAUAAAGGGUCCCCCGCGUGAGCGGGGGCGCAGAGAAGUGGCCCAGGCGACUGUUUACCAAAAACACAAGGCUCUGCCAAACCGCGAGGUGACGUAUAGGGCCUGACACCUGCCCGGUGCCGGAAGGUUAAGGGGAGGGGUUAUCCGCGAGGAGAAGCCCUGAACCGAAGCCCCGGUAAACGGCGGCCGUAACUAUAACGGUCCUAAGGUAGCGAAAUUCCUUGUCGGGUAAGUUCCGACCU
rnacentral:rRNA from 1 species